AGAGUUUGAUCCUGGCUCAGGACGAACGCUGGCGGCGUGCUUAACACAUGCAAGUCACGGGGGCUCGCAAGAGCAACCGGCGAACGGGUGCGUAACACGUGAACAACCUGCCCUCGUGUGGGGGAUAGCCGGGCUAACGCCCGGGUAAUACCGCAUACGUUCCCUUGGGGGAGUCCCCGGGGGAGGAAAGCUCCGGCGCACGGGGAGGGGGUCGCGGCCUAUCAGCUUGUUGGCGGGGUAACGGCCCACCAAGGCGACGACGGGUAGCUGGUCUGAGAGGAUGGCCAGCCACAUUGGGACUGAGAGACGGCCCAGACUCCUACGGGAGGCAGCAGUGGGGAAUCUUGCGCAAUGGCCGAAAGGCUGA
rnacentral:rRNA from 1 species